ensembl:lncRNA
CCAAGACAGAACAUAAAAGAUAAAUACCGGAGCAAGUAGAAUUACCUGCUCGGGUUUAUUGCUAUUUGAGGUGGAAACCGUUGCGCUACGGUGGCAAAUUCUCAAGGCCUCUGGCUAGAGAUCACGCUCCCCAGGAAACGGUCCAGGCAAACGUCUCAUAAUGUGCACCAAUCUAAAUGUUAAUUUCCUCACUUGAUGGUCUUCAUAAGAGCGAGAGGGUCAUGGGAGGUUUCUAUAGGAGGCCAAGUUGAAGCCUUAUCGAGGGAGCGGCCACACUCGAGAUAAGGUUGUUGUUUUCUUGAUUUUUAUUCUUCGCUGAGAGGAUUUGCAUAUACACGAUUGCACGUUGCCACUUUACCCUCGGGACAAAAGGUGUUUUGUAAUUAAAGUGAACAAUGGCUGCAGCGCAAUAGAAGUGUGAUUAUUUGGCUAAUUUCUGCCACGCUGUUGUGUACAGGUGAAACAAAACAAUCAAGACUCUUGCGAUAAUGAUAAGGAAUUGGCUCCGUCCCCCUCGCGAUUUACGGCCGCCUUCUGCUUGAGCAAGACUGCGUUGGUCUCGGAAACUAUAAGAAAACCAACGAGGUUUCAACCAUCGAAAAAUGCGCACCGGCAAGCUAGCUAGCUAUUCUAGGGUUUACCAGACAACACCGUUUUUUUUUUGUAUAUGAAUAGAUUUUGAA